rnacentral:rRNA from 1 species
AAUAGAUACCCCGGUAGUCCAUGCCGUAAACGUUGGAACUAGAUGUAGGGCCUGGUUCCACGGGUUCUGUGUCGUAGCUAACGCAUUAAGUUCCCCGCCUGGGGAGUACGGCCGCAAGGCUAAAACUCAAAGGAAUUGACGGGGGCCCGCACAAGCGGCGGAGCAUGCGGAUUAAUUCGAUGCAACGCGAAGAACCUUACCAAGGCUUGACAUAUAGAAGAACACUGCAGAGAUGCAGGACUCUUUGGACACUUCUAUACAGGUGGUGCAUGGUUGUCGUCAGCUCGUGUCGUGAGAUGUUCGGUUAAGUCCGGCAACGAGCGCAACCCUCGUCCUAUGUUGCCAGCACGUGAUGGUGGGAACUCAUGGGAUACUGCCGUGGUCAACACGGAGGAAGGUGGGGAUGACGUCAAAUCAUCAUGCCCCUUAUGUCUUGGGCUUCACGCAUGCUACAAUAGCCGGUACAAAGGGCUGCGAUACCGUAAGGUGGAGCGAAAUCCCAAAAAGCCGGUCUCAGUUCGGAUUGGGGU